AUGAUUCUUCUGAGCUGGGUGCCGACAGACGGCUGGUCCUCAGGGUUUUUGUGUGGAUGUGUCUGGCAGAUGUUGUGCUCUUCUGGGGCCGCCGGGUUCUUCCUCCCUCCCGGAUCGUCUGCUGUGACCCGUGACACUCCUCCUAGACCACUGUCACGCGGCCUAAGGAGACAGGCUUGCACUAUGAAUGAGGGAAUAUCCUGCACAGAUAGGGCCUGCUUGGGAAAACCGAGCAAGCGAUGCAGUUCAGGUGGGAAGGAAGGGAGGUCCGUUUUGGGAAGGCCUUGGCAGAUCCUCCCGAUCGGAUGGAGCAUAUUCGGUUCACGUGCGGCGACUGAAUGCCUUCCAAUGUUUGCAGACACUGAUGGAUGAGAACAUAACGACGUGCCGACGGACAGACCACAUCUCUGAGAAAAAACUGUGAAUAUGGCAAUUCAUCUUGAAACUGGAAGGCCUGGAAGCGGUUGGAGCUGCAGUGUUGGGCGUCUGAAACGCACAAAUGUUUGGUUUCUGUUUACAUUUGAGUUUUUCUGCGUUUCUGCUCACUGCCGUUUCAUCUGUGAGAGCAGUUUUCUGUUUUAUUUAAGAGCUUAUAAGAUUACAGUUCCGCUCGGUUUCUGCUUUUUCUCAAAGAUUUUGCGACGGGCAACAGUGAUGAUGGUUUUAUGGCUGAAUUUAGUGAGGUUUAUGCAUGAAGCAUGACAGGUUGUAAGAUACUGUACAUUCUGUAAAAACAAGAUUUAAUAUUAAAUGCAAUUUGCUUUCUCGGGUAAAUGUAGGCCUGUCAUGUGGUGAAUAAGAACAAAAUACAGUAUGCUUAUAUGUUUUAAAAAAUAUUUGUAUAUUAGUUGUAGCUGGUUAGUUGAACAGUUACAUGUAAAGAGCCACUGGUUUAAAAAAAAAAAAAAAACACUAUAAUUUAAAUGUAUAUUUACUGUUCAAAAGAUUUUUGUUGGAAAAUGCUCACCAAAGCUGCAUUUAUUUUUACAAAAAUACAUUAAAAAUGUAAAUAUUAUUACAGUUUAAUAUAGCUGUUUUCUAUGUGUAUAACUGUUAAAAUAUAAUUUAUUGUUGUGAUACAAUCUGAAUUUUCAGCAUCAUUACUCCAGUCUUCAGAAAUCACGAUCCUUUAGAAAUCAUUCUAAUAUGCUGAAUUGCUGCAUUUCUGAUUGUUAUCAAUGUUGGAUAUAGUUCCUAUUUUGUAGAAACCAUGACACAUUUUAUUUUUCGGGAUUCUUUGAUGAAUACAAAGUUCAAAAGAACAGUGUUUAUUGAAAAGAGAAAUAUUUUGUAACGUUAUGAAUGUCUUUACUGUCACUAUUGAUCAAUUUAAUGGAGUAUUACCUUCUUCUCUAAACCGUGACCCUGAAAACAACAUGUGACCUAUGACCCUUGGACAGUUGAAUAUAUUGGGCCAUCAGGGUUCAAGUUCUUAUCAUCUGAAACAAAACUUCAUUUUAAACUUGCAGAAAAAUCUUCAUGAACUCCUGGCAGCUUGGCGGCACGUCCGGUUGAUUUACACUGAUUAUGACAGUAAAUAUGCUGCGCACAAUCAGCAGAGCAAAGCUGUAAUGUAUGUGUGUAUGUACUCAUGAAUCACGGCUGUUGAUUUGGGUGUAAUGACGCCGCAGCAGAGAUGAGUCUGACAGAGAUGGAGACGCCGAGACCUUAUUUACACCAACUGCACGAAUCAUUAAAUGUUCACCGAUUCGUCUCUGAGCUAUUGUAUGAAUCAUUCCUCAUCAGAGAUUUCAGUGAAGAAAAAACACGAUGAUUCAUGUGAACUGAGCAGCGCUUGUCACUGCCAUCGCUUCAGUUUAUUUCUGUUGCUACCGAUGCCGGGCAAUUUGGAUGCAUUUCUGUUUGGAACUAAUUAUGAACAUUACAGAUGGCCUGUAAUGGUUUUUCCAGAAUCUGCUGCGUGCGCUUGCCAGCGAACAGUUUAAUGUGCUAUUGUUUUCUUUGGGCUGCAAACAGCAGAACUCUAGCAGCGUAAUGUUUGAAGAACACACUGCUGUCAUUAAAGCAAGAGAAAAAUCAUCAAGUUUAUAAAAAAGUAUAAUUAAAAAUGUUAACUGGUAUGCUAAUAAUAGAAUUUUUAAUGAAAAAACAUUAGAAAAAUGGCAGUUUGAUGCAUGAACCUCUGCAGUCUAUUAAAAUAAAUGUAAACAGAUCUCAACAGGAAACGUUCUUAGAACGUUCUGGCAAGGUUCUCUCAAAGUUAUGAACAAACAUUCUUCCAGUAACGUUAAUAGAACAUUCAUUUAGAGUGUUUUGGUCUUUAACUAUGUUCAAGACAUUAGCAAAAAAAAAAACAUUUCUAGGCUACUAAAUGAUAUGUCAGUCAGUAUUGCAUUAAUCAUAUAGUCUACUUAUUAACUGGAGAAAACUCGAAAAACACACAUAAACCGUAUAUUUUUAUUGUCUUCCCG
rnacentral:lncRNA from 12 species